UACGGAGGGUGCAAGCGUUAAUCGGAAUUACUGGGCGUAAAGCGUGCGCAGGCGGUUUGUUAAGUCUGCUGUGAAAUCCCCGAGCUCAACUUGGGAAUUGCAGUGGAUACUGGCAGGCUGGAGUAUGGUAGAGGAAGGUGGAAUUCCCGGUGUAGCAGUGAAAUGCGUAGAGAUCGGGAGGAACACCAGUGGCGAAGGCGGGCUACUGGGCCGAUACUGACGCUGAUGCGCGAAAGCCAGGGGAGCGAACGGG
rnacentral:rRNA from 1 species